rnacentral:rRNA from 1 species
GAUGAACGCUAGCUACAGGCUUAACACAUGCAAGUCGAGGGGUAACGAGAGGAAAGCUUGCUUUCCUUGUCGACGACCGGCGCACGGGUGAGUAACGCGUAUCCAACCUGCCCCCAACUAGGGAAUAACCUUGCGAAGGUAAGACUAAUACCCUAUAAUUUCCUCAGAUGACAUCUGACGAGGAAUAAAGAUUUAUCGGUUGUGGAUGGGGAUGCGUCUGAUUAGCUUGUUGGCGGGGUAACGGCCCACCAAGGCAACGAUCAGUAGGGGUUCUGAGGGGAAGGUCCCCCACAUUGGAACUGAGACACGGUCCAAACUCCUACGGGAGGCAGCAGUGAGGAAUAUUGGUCAAUGGGCGGAAGCCUGAACCAGCCAAGUAGCGUGCAGGAUGACGGCCCUAUGGGUUGUAAACUGCUUUUAUACAGGAAUAAAGUUAGCCACGUGUGGUUAUUUGUAGGUACUGUAUGAAUAAGGACCGGCUAAUUCCGUGCCAGCCGCCGCCGUAA